AGCUACUGUAGCUCAGUCAGUAGAGCAUGAGACUCUUAAUCUCAUGGUUGUGGGUUUGAGCCCCACAUUGGCCA